GAAGCGAGAGUGACGGUACCUGCAGAAGAAGCACCGGCUAACUACGUGCCAGCAGCCGCGGUAAUACGUAGGGUGCAAGCGUUGUCCGGAAUUAUUGGGCGUAAAGAGCUCGUAGGUGGUUCGUCGCGUCUGCUGUGAAAGUCCGAGGCUUAACCUCGGAUCUGCAGUGGGUACGGGCGGACUAGAGUGCGGUAGAGGAGAUCGGAAUUCCUGGUGUAGCGGUGGAAUGCGCAGAUAUCAGGAGGAACACCGGUGGCGAAGGCGGAUCUCUGGGCCGUAACUGACGCUGAGGAGCGAAAGCAUGGGGAGCGAACAGGCUUAGAUACCCUGGUAGUCCAUGCCGUAAACGUUGGGCGCUAGGUGUGGGGUCCUAUCCACGGAUUCCGUGCCGCAGCUAACGCAUUAAGCGCCCCGCCUGGGGAGUACGGCCGUAAGGCUAAAACUCAAAGGAAUUGACGGGGCCCGCACAAGCGGCGGAGCAUGCGGAUUAAUUCGAUGCAACGCGAAGAACCUUACCAAGGCUUGAC
rnacentral:rRNA from 1 species